rnacentral:rRNA from 1 species
UACGAAGGGGGCUAGCGUUGCUCGGAAUGACUGGGCGUAAAGGGCGCGUAGGCGGAUGGCACAGUCAGAUGUGAAAUUCCCGGGCUUAACCUGGGGGCUGCAUUUGAUACGUGUUGUCUUGAGUUCGGAAGAGGGUCGUGGAAUUCCCAGUGUAGAGGUGAAAUUCGUAGAUAUUGGGAAGAACACCAGUGGCGAAGGCGGCUAACUGGUCCAGCACUGACGCUGAGGUGCGAAAGCGUGGGGAGCAAACAGG